GGAUGUGAGGGCGAUCUGGCUGCGACAUCAGUCACCCCAUUGAUCGCCAGGGUUGAUUCGGCUGAUCUGGCUGACUAGGCGGGUGUCCCCUUCCUCCCUCACCGCUCCAUGUGCGUCCCUCCCGAAGCUGCGCGCUCGGUGGAAGAGGACGACGUCCCAGGUAUAGAAGGGGGGAUGCA
rnacentral:snRNA from 1 species